UACGGAGGGUGCUAGCGUUGUUCGGAAUCACUGGGCGUAAAGCGCGUGUAGGCGGCCCACUAAGUCUGAUGUGAAAGCCCGGGGCUCACCCCCGGAAGUGCAUUGGAAACUGGUGGACUCGAGUCCCGGAGAGGAGGGUGGAAUUCCUGGUGUAGCGGUGAAAUGCGUAGAUAUCUGGAGGAACACCGGUGGCGAAGGCGGCGUCCUGGACCAACACUGACACUGAUGAGCGAAAGCCAGGGGAGCAAACGGG
rnacentral:rRNA from 1 species